GACGAACGCUGGCGGCGUGCUUAACACAUGCAAGUCGAACGCUGAAGCCCUUUCGGGGGUGGAUGAGUGGCGAACGGGUGAGUAACACGUGGGUAAUCUGCCCUGUACUUCGGGAUAAGCCUUGGAAACGGGGUCUAAUACCGGAUAGGACCUGUCCUCGCAUGGGGGUGGGUGGAAAGUUCCGGCGGUAUGGGAUGAGCCCACGGCCUAUCAGCUUGAGGGUGGGGUAGUGGCCUACCAAGGCGACGACGGGUAGCCGGCCUGAGAGGUUGACCGGUCACACUGGGACUGAGACACUGUCCAGACUCCUACGGGAGGCAGCAGUGGGGAUUCUUGCGCACUGGGCUAAAGCCUGCCGCAGCCACGCCGCGUGGAGGAUGACUGCCUUCGGGUUGUAAACCUCUUUCGACAUCGACGAAGGGGCCCUGUUGUGGGGUUGUGACGGUAGGUGUAGAAGAAGCACCGGCUAACUACGUGCCAGCCGCCGCGGUAA
rnacentral:rRNA from 1 species